rnacentral:lncRNA from 1 species
CCAGAUCUAAUUCCGUAGAAAGGAAAACUUCUUUCUUUGCCUAUUAUCAUCGCCGCCGCAGUUUUAUAUCUCAUUUCAAUCACUAAAAUCCUAAAUUCAUUGCUCAACCCCCACCCCCAAAAAAAGGGGAAAAAAUGGAAAAGAAAAGAAAUCCUGCAUUAUUCUGCUCGAAGCACAAGUUAUGGUUUAUUUAAUUGUAGAGGAAGGAAAUUCAAUUAAAAAACCCUAACUUGAGGUAAGAUUCUUUUAUCUUUUCUUGGAACUUUCGUCUAGGGUUCUUUGUUUUAGCAAAUGAACAAUGAGUAAAGUCAUAUAUGUUAUGUGUUUAAUUAAGUCCCUUGUAUUUGAGAUCUAAAAGAAGAAAGUUUAUUCACGAAGUAUCGAUUGGAGAAAAUUUCUGAAAUUUGUUUAAUAUUUUGGUGUUAAUGAGUAAAGUUAAUUUGUAUAGACGUGUUCAAUAUAUUCUUAAUGAUAGGAGAAAUAAUUUAUCGUAUACCAAUGCAAUUUUAAAAGGACCCUCUCAACAAAAUUUGUUCGGCAUGGAUAUAAGGUAAGCAAAGAUUCACAAGCACCUACCAUUCGUGAAAAUAUAUGCUUUAUGUACUAACCUUUGUGGAAGUGAAAUUUAUUGAAAUAUACAAGCUGUUAAGAAUUACUCAUGCCUUUCCUUAUUCUAAUUUAUAUGAAUGUGUGUAUAUGAUUAAAAUUUUCAGGAACACUGAUAUUCUUUUAAAACUUAAUAUUUUAAUUUUGAGAAAUGGAGGCCCACAGAAUUCAUAUUGUUGAAGUUCACUUGGAAAAAAAAAAAAGAAAAUUAUGAAUUUGAAUCCUAUAAGGAAAAGGGAGAUUUUGGCAACACUUUUGAAAAAAGAAUGGUAUACUUGUCAAAUGCAUAAAAAAUGGACACUAUUUAGUAUCCUAAAAGUAAUACACUAAAUUCAUUUCUCACUCUAAAGCUUUCCUAUCUAGAAAAUUUCUUCUGUUCCAAAUGUGAUUAAAAUCCUCAUUUAUAAAAUAUCUUCAAUAGCCCAAAUCCAUGAAUUCAUAAGUCCACCUUCCAUCUUCUUAUAAUUUCUUACUUUCCUUCUGUAAAUGAACAAUUUCUUUGUUUAAAACUCUACAUUUUCAGUAGUUACAUCACUAGGGCCUUUAAAGUUUGUUGAGCUUUCUCUAUACAUAGGGUUUGGGCUUUAGAAAAACUGAUAGAUUUCGUGAAAAUUUUCUAUUGAUUCCAUUUUAUCAUUUCACAGUUAGCAAGUCUCUGGAUCUUUUCUUAUAUUUGUUUUUUGAAAUUCAUUUAUCUUGAUGAUUUGUUGUGUUCCUUUCCAUCUACUCUUGACAGCCCCCGUUAUUUCGGCUGCACAAGGUUGGAGUACUGACAUGGAGGCAGGGAUGGAUCUAGGAUUGGAUCCACGAUCGGACUACAAAAUUUCAAACCGAGCUACUACGUGGAAAAUUUUUUUUUUUUUUACACAUAAAAAACUGAUUUUUUAUCCAAAAAAUAAAAAAUACCUUAAUAAAAAAACUCUUGGACCUGGGGGGCUACAGCCCCCCCCAGCCCCCCCCCCCCCUAAUAUCCGUCUUUGCAUGGAGGGUGUCUAGCACGUGUUGAUGAAACCUAGUAUCAUAGUUUUAGAAGUCCCAAUUGAGGUCACUUCAGAAUGAAGUGAAUAAAAAUGCCUCAUUGUGGGGCAGUUUUUGAAGGCAUACGACUCCACUAAGGGAUGCAUGUGCCUCAAAAUGCUGCCGUAAGACUUGUGAUGUGUCCGUAUUUACUUUUCUUUAGGGCUGGAUCCAGAAGAUCCUAAAAAGUAUAGUUAAUUUACUUUGGGAAUAGCCAACCGCCCGAUUGAAAAAAAAAAUUGCGGUUUCUCAUAUAACUUUUUCGGGAAUAGUCAACUCCACCAACUAAAGUAAUAGUUUUUUUGGUUACUUUUUAUAUUUUUUAUAUGUUUUUUACACACUUAAUUUUUUAUCAUGUUUUUUUUAAAAAAAUUAAUGAUUUAUUAUGCUUAUUUUGUAUUUUAAUGAAUUUUUAUAUAUUUUUGGUUCAUGGUGUGGCUUAUACUUCAAAUGCCUUGAGGUUUACUCCUUACUUCACAAAAGAAUGACACAUCAAUACCUAAUUAUGCAUUUUAAAUAAUGUGCAUGGUUUAAUAAAACCCAAUUGAGGCUCAAUUGAAAGUGAGGAGAACUAAAGUCUCAAAGCAAUGAUUGUAAGGUUGCUUUUAGAGUUGUAUGCUUCAACUACAACGACCAAAUACAUUUUCUUACAACCUCUUUCACUAAGGGGCUAUUCCAUUCAUCCUUAUCUUUGGAACUCUCUACUGGGGGUUGGACUUGUGGCGGAUUUCUUUAUGGCCUGCCACGAGUUGAAUUCAACACCUUUCUUAAGAACAUAAGUAAAAUGCUUCCAGUGGGCACUAUGUAAGUUAUGAUUGGCUGAACAACGGCUACGUGAAAGAGCUUUCAACUUUUUGGUUAUUAUGUCUACUAAGUUAGACACUCACCAUACACCGCCUUAAGAUUUGUGAGGUCUUUACUUCUUAAUUUUUCUGACUUCUUUGCUUUUAUUUAGGUGCGGAAUCCAAAAAUAUUAAUAACAUUGUGAUCGACACAUUUUGGGAACAGCCUAUUGUCCAUUAAAAUAUUAAAUAUUUUUGUUUCUAAUAGACCUGCUCCGGCAAUACCAUUGUCUUGCCAAUGUUAGCGAUAGUUGCUUUUAUCUUAGUUUACCAAAUUUUGUUUCCAUAUUUCUUUUUUUUUUAGUUUGAGAACUUUGAAUUAUCGUUUUAUGAGUUUGGAAACUGUUUUAUGAUUUACUAUGUGCUUGAUUUGUAUAUUAAUAGUUUUCUUGACAUUCUAUCUCUUUAAACUGAGGGAUAUGCCUCAAAAUGCCUUGAGUUUGUUUUUCGGGAUGAUUUGAAAAACAUUUUGUAUAAUAGGGUUGAUGUCAUCUAUCAACCAUCCAAUCUCCCCUUCAUUUUAUUUCGGAAUUCCUAUUAUGAUUUACUGGUCACAUGCAAGACUACUAAAAUGUCUUGUAUUGAUGUGCUUGUAUAUUUUAGUCACCCUUAUUUGGUUGUAAUGACAUAGAUUUAUGUUUCAUAUAUAGGUAGGAAAAGCAAUUUUUAUGAUUAAGUUUGCAUAUGUUUUAACAUUAUGAUAAAUAUGCCUUUGUUCUUUAAUUGAUUUUGACAGUAAUUAACCUUAAUGAUUUUAUAGAAGUGAUGAAUGUAUGAAAAUGAAAUCUUGAAACAUAUUGUAUUUCUUAAAUAGUUAUUUGAAAUUAUUAUUAAUAUAUAAUUGGUGAUGAUCCUUUACUUUUUGCAGCUCCGUAAGGGUUCUGGAAACAAUGCACAACUGAACAGGUUCAAUUUUGUUUUUCUAAGGAUGCAAUAACGGAGAAAAUUACUAUCGAUCAACAUUUUGUUCAGCAGAUUAAGUGAUAUAAUUUGUAGCAAAAGGAUCUCAAUAGGUUUGAUAUUUCGAAUGAUUUAAUGCUUUCUAGAAGGUCAAAGACUAAGAAUGGUAUACACAUGCAAUGGAUGGUAUUGACGUCAACAACAACUCAAAGAAAUAUCAGAUAUGGAUAAGGAUUACAAGUGGUUUAUUCUCACAGGUUUAAGUGAGACGGAAAAAUAUAAAAAACUUAAGCAAAAAAGAGACACACCUAACGGUGUUGGCAAGAAGAGUGAGAAGAAUAGUGUUGUUGAUCCUCAAUAUGAACUUUUUUUGGGUAGACUCAAACUCUAUGAGAAGUCCUAUAUGCUUGAGGUUGAGAAAAUGGUGUACCCAUGGUGAUUAAAUAUGAAGAAUUGGGUAGUUCCAAA